CAUAUAUCUUUCUAUAUCGGGCCCACACUUGGGGUAUCUUUACGAGGAUCAUUCAAACUCUUUAUUCAGCUCCGGGCUGUGGCUCUUGAAGAAGCUCAAGAACACACACUACAUUCAUCAGCUUGCCUUCACCAAUGAUCCAGAUCUUCAAAAUACGUUUUUUACAAGCUGUGUAAAGUACUGAAUUCCUGUAUUUAAUGCACUUAGCUUAGCCAUCAGGUGUUAAGCUUCCUUGAAUCUCGGAUGGUUCCUCAGGGAGGGCAGAUUUGUGGGUUUUUGGUUUUUAGGGUUUCACGAUUGGUUUGCUCCUGGAGGUUGUGUUUGUGCUGGGACAACAUUUUCCACCUUCUAUUUGCACUGGGAUGACUGCGUUUUAAAACUGUUGAGGACUCCAGUCGAACUCACUUCCUUCAAGGCCACUUCAGCUCUUCGACUCGCUGCCCAGAAGAUCAAGUUCUCAAGUCAUUUACGCACAGAUUCAUAAAGUGGUGUUAACGAGCAUGAGGCGAGGACUCCAUAUUUCCCUCUUGCUUUGCUGUACUGGUCGUGCUACGUGAUGGAACUGCGGCAGUGCUCUUCAGCUGCUUUGUUCUUCAAUCAUGAUAUGUUGCUUUUAAUUUUUGGGGCAAAGCUUAAGGGAGAUUGUGAAAUACUGCACUGAGGUCCUCCCCCAACAAAGCCGUCAAUGGCCUCCUCGCCCAAGCAACGCACACAUCUUUGUGUUCUUCACUUCAGACAGUUCCGUAUUACAGGGUCAGAUUUGAAAUGGGGAAUUGCUGCGGUUGUAGGAGAGCUUGAUCAUGGUGAUGCAGAUUUUGCAUUCCUUGGUGGGAAGUCAAUGGAAACCCUACUGCUUGGAUUUGGCUCUCCAUUCACAUUGAACACAUAAUCUAUUUAGCAUAACAAGAUGCCCAUUCCUUUCUUCAGUUGGAAGAAAAUGCAAACCCUAUCAAUGUCUGUAACUGCAAGCAAACAUGAGGAGACACAAAUUGGGCAGAAGAAACCAAAAACAAAAUUACGAGAAAAACCAAUGUGGCAGCAAGCAGUCUGGCAAUUCUCCAAGAAAUAUGACAACUACCAAUACGGACGACAAUGUCGUCCUUCUCAGAUCUCCCCCACGAACUCCUUUCCGUUUGGAUCAUCUCAAUUUUGUAACCUAUUAUUACACUCAUUCCUCUGUCCUUUUCCUGUUUAGUUGAUAUAGAAUGAGUUUUUGGUUGUUUUAGAGAAUUUUUGUUUUCUUACCUGUGGAAAGAAAUGGAAGGGUGAAAAAAGGUUGUUUUUUCCAUUUUUUAUUUCUGUGUUCAUAGUUGUUUCAAUGGAUCUUCGUCUAAUAUAAAUAGAGCUAAAUUGAAUGCCUAUUUUUCUGCAUUGUAUUUGACUUUUUAAAUUCAUUCCUUUUUCUUGAUGAAUGUAAUUUGCUUUUGCAGUUCAAACUUUUCCUGCAAGAAGAUUUAAGCUUCGAAUUGGAUUGAGAGAGAGAGGGAAUGGCUUACAUUCGGAGUGAUCAAGAGUUUCUUCCUUAUGCACACGAGGCAAUUCCACGAGGUUAUUCUGAGCACACAGUGUAAGAGCAACCAUAUAAGCUCUAUAACAAACUAGCCAAGAACAUAAGAUUUAACCAACUAAAUCACAAUCAUCACUCCAAAUAUUCUGUAUAUGCAAAUACUGAAGUAAUAUCUGCAACACAUACCAGCAAAACUGUUUGCCGAAGUCUUUCCCGUGUGUUCUGUCAUAAUAGUCCUUCAUAGUUUGUUGUAUGAUCUCCCUAUCCCACACAUGGUGAAUAUUGGAUUUGUUUCUGUACCAACGCAAGGCUAUCGUGUUUCCUCCCUCAUCUGUCCUGAACCCGACAUGCAUCGGGUGAUGAAUAUCUCCCACAAAGUGUGACAAGAAAACCAAGGUCUCAGCCAUAUUAUAUCGACGGUCAGAUGUGCCUUCUGUGUAGUGUGAAAACUGAGAGGUGAAGUUUUGGACGGUACCAGCAACACACAUGUUCUUUACGGCAUUGAUCAAAGGAAAGAAUAGUGCUAGACACCAUAUCAUAACUAUGUUCAACAAAUUAGGAUUAAGAGCCAUUAGAGAAAUCUACACACAACCUUCUCCUCUCUGCAAAACUCAAUGCUCUCCAAGUUAUAGGUAAUUGGAACAAUAAGAGCGUAUUUUUGUGAGAGCAGGGGCUUGUGGUUUUUAUACUACAAAAUCUGGAUUACCCUAUAAUAAUCCUACAAGGAAUACAAGACCAAAUCCUUGUACAAGUAUGAGUUCUAUUCUCAAGCCAACAAUAGAGUUUCAAUCCAAACCAAAGUUGAAUUAACUCUUAUAAACACAUUAAGACCUCUUUAUAACAAUCUGAAAUAACAAU